rnacentral:tRNA from 2 species
UGCAAACAUAGUUUAAUCCAAACAUUAGAUUGUGAUUCUAAAAAUAGGAGUUUAAACCUCCUUGUUCGCC